UACAACCAUAUCAUGUUGAAACACUUGAUCACAUAUGAUCACUGAAGUUAAGCAACAGCAAGCCUGGUCAGUACCUAGAUGGGUAACUGCUUGGGAAUACCAGGU